rnacentral:lncRNA from 1 species
CCCUUUCUGGGUUAAGUUUUUGUAUUUGUAUUUCAGUUUUUAUUAUGUCAUUUCCAUUUGUAUUUUCGAAUUUUGUAUUUUGACCAUGGGUUGUACUAUUGGGGUGUUUUGUCCCCCACGAACAAAAUUUUAUUUUUCAGUUAAUGUUAUUUAUGUUUGUUGUUAAUUUUGUGUGUUUAAUAAAUUUUUGGUUGAUUGAGUGGCAAACCCUUCUAGAUUGGUUGCUCCUCAAGAAGUACCCAAUGAAGGUGCAUCCGAG